rnacentral:misc_RNA from 1 species
CACUUUUUACAUAUAUUAAUUCUAAAUAUAAAAUUGGUUCCAUUUUAUAUUUAUUUUAUUAUAUAUUGAAAAUUAUUAAAAAUAUUUUAUAUAUGUUUAUAAUGUUUUUAUUAAGUUGAGUAAAUCAAUUGACCACACUCAAGCAUGUAGCUAUUUCAUUGUGAUGGCCCCUCAAAAAAUAUUUUCUAGCUCCACUCUGGUUUGGACGGGCGUAAGCCUGUGAACAUGUAAUUUUUUUUCUUAGGCUAGUUAUGAUUAAACCUGUCCUAGUUUGAAGUCAUUUGUGAGAUAAUGGCAUAUUCCUAGAACCUCCUAGAACAUAUCUAUUGAUAUUUUCUGACUUAUAUUUUUUUUUGCUUUCAUAUCAGGCGGCUGGGAGAUCCCUCUUAU